rnacentral:rRNA from 1 species
AGCAGCCGCGGUAAUUCCAGCUCCAAUAGCGUAUAUUAAAGUUGUUGCAGUUAAAAAGCUCGUAGUUGAAUUUCGGGACCAAUCUGCCGGUCGUGCCUCCGGUACGCACUGGUUUUAUUGGUUUCUCCCUUCUGACGAACCAUGGUGUCAUUAAUUUGGUGUCAUGGGGAAUCAGGACUGUUACUUUGAAAAAAUUAGAGUGUUUAUAGCAGGCUCACGCUUGAAUACAUUAGCAUGGAAUAAUGAAAUAGGACGUUUGACCCUAUUUUGUUGGUUUCUAGGAUCGACGUAAUGAUUAAUAGGGAUAGUUGGGGGCAUUAGUAUUCAAUUGUCAGAGGUGAAAUUCUUGGAUUUAUUGAAGACUAACUACUGCGAAAGCAUUUGCCAAGGAUGUUUUCAUUAAUCAAGAACGAAAGUUAGGGGAUCGAAGACGAUCAGAUACCGUCGUAGUCUUAACCAUAAACUAUGCCGACUAGGGAUCGGAUGAUGUUAAUUUUUAAUGACUCAUUCGGCGCCUUAA